UACGAAGGGGGCUAGCGUUGUUCGGAAUUACUGGGCGUAAAGAGCGUGUAGGCGGAGUAGUAAGUCAGGGGUGAAAGCCCGGAGCCUAACCCUAGAACUGCCUUUGAUACUGGUAGGCUCGAGAGUCGGAGGGGGAGGUGGAACUCCGAAUGUAGAGGUGAAAUCCGUAGAUAUUAGGAGGAACACCUGUGGCGAAGGCGGCUACCUGGACGAGUACUGACGCUGAGACGCGAAAGCGUGGGGAGCAAACAGG
rnacentral:rRNA from 1 species